rnacentral:snRNA from 1 species
GGAUGGAAGGGUGAUCUGGCUGCAACAUCUGUCACCGCAUUGAUUGCCAGGGUUGAUUGCCAGCUGAUCUGGCCGGCUAGGUGGGUGUUACCUAUCUGCCUAACCCUCACCACUCCUUGUGCAUCUCCCCACCCUCAAAAGUUAAAAGCUUGGUCAAAGAGGACAGCCUUCCCCAAUAGAGGAGGACCAUGUUUCUGUCAAAGUUAUAUGAGUAGAGGGAUGCCUGAGUGGCUCAGAGUUUGAGCAUCUGCCUUUGGCUCAGGGCGUGAUCCUGGGAUCCAGAAUCAAGUCCUACAUCAGGCUCCCUGCACGGAGCCUGCUUCUCCCUCUGCCUGUGUCUCUGCCUCUCUCUCUCUGUGUCUCUCAUGAAUAAAUAAAUCUUUAAAAAAAAGAUAAAGGUUUUAUGAGUAGCUGUGCUCCCCUGUUGGAAACUCCCAAGCAAGUUCUCAAGGUCCAUUUGUAGGAGAACAUAGGGUAGUCAAGCUUUAUUAUUAUUAUUUUAUUAUUAUUAUUUAAGAUUUUAAUUAUUUGA